UUAAUAUAUGUCUCUUCUAAGAGACGGUAUAUACUCAUAGCGAGAGCUUAUACUCUUUGUCUACAGCAUCAGGUGCAAGAUUCUGGGCACACAGUAGCCCACAGACUUUGCUGAAUGAAUGGGAAGGCAUCUUCCUCCUCGCCACUGCUUGUCGAUGUACUUCUUGAGGUCAGGAGACCCCUUCUACCCUGGGCCUGGCACAGGACCCAGUAUAUCAGAAGGGCUGAAGAGAUUUUCCUCAAUGAAUUUUAAGUCAACAGGUUACUGAUUUGGAAGUAUAACUCUUAAUAGUUUGUCCUUGAGAGCUGCUUAUAUCUUAGGAAAUCCAACUUAAUAAAUGGAAUCUCAUGGUGACUUUAAAAAAAAUUACUGGUUCUACCUGAAGCUGUUGGUGCCAGUUCUGAAAUUUGUCUGUUUUGCUGAUGUAGCUCUUUAUUUGUGUUUGCAUGGUUAAUACGGACUGGGGGGAGCGUGUCGUGGAGGAGGAGAGCUGAGAAGGGGCACGGGAAGACCUUCACAAGGAUUUCCCUGGCAUGGCCUCGUCCAGGACUUGGAUACCUGACGUGAGAUCAGGUUGGAUGAGAGAGGAGAGCAAUAGUGUAAAGUCUGUUAAACCAGAAGCCUUAUAAUUUCUACUUGAGAAAACUUGGGACAAAUUCACCAUGAACCCAGCUGCAAUCGCCUGGAGUCAUCGCCUGGUUGAGCUUAUUAUAAUCAACAGUUACUGUCCAAGAUCCAUCUGUCUUCUGCAUUGGUCAGACAGGGUUCUAUGGAAAGCUGAGUAAAUGAACAGGGCCGUUUCACAGAGUGUAACUCAUACCAGUCCUAUUGAGCAACGUCUUGAACGUAAGUCCUUUUCAACUAAACGGAGGUAUAUUUUCUUUUAUAUUGUUGACUUUGACGCUGCAGCUUAGCAAAGAACACUUGUGCAACAUUUUCUGCAUCAAUUGAUCAUCCGCUUAGAGCAGACAUGCAUUUUUCUCAUCAUUAAAGGGAAACCAAACCCAUCAACGUAAUCCCCCAUUCUGCUUUGUUUCUCUCCAGUCCUUCAUGCUGUAAAUUCUGAAAUAUUAAUGAAGGGAUGUGAAAGCAGUGGGCUCUGUUCUCACACCCAGACCCAGUGGGAGCAGGGGCAGGGAGUGAAAGGAUGAGAAAUGUCCUCAUUUUGCAAAACAAAGUGUUUCUCCAAGCUGGGUUGUUGCAGAACAAUCUGCCUCGAACUCUCCCAAGGUGCUCGUUUAAAAUACAGAUUCCUAGGCAGGUUCUACGCCUACUGUAUCAAAAUUUCUGGAUGAUGGGGCUUUGUGGUUUGCUUUUUUUUUGUUUGUUU